rnacentral:rRNA from 1 species
UACGUUCCCGGGCUUGUACACACCGCCCGUCACGUCACGAAAGUCGGCAACACCCGAAGCCGGUGGCCUAACCCGUAAGGGAGGGAGCCGUCGAAGGUGGGGCCAGCGAUUGGGACG